UGGCGGCCGUAGCGCGGUGGUCCCACCUGACCCCAUGCCGAACUCAGAAGUGAAACGCCGUAGCGCCGAUGGUAGUGUGGGGUCUCCCCAUGCGAGAGUAGGGAACUGCCAGGUA
rnacentral:rRNA from 4 species